rnacentral:misc_RNA from 1 species
UUCAAGAGAUGACCCGGGAACGUCAUUCAUUGCUACUUUAGCUUUUGAAGAAUCACUGCCAUCAGUUGAAUGAGAGAGCUUUGAGUCAUUUGCCUCAUCAGUUGAGCCAUUGCCAUCUAAACUUGAACCAGGAAGUUGCAAGUCCUUCCCCUCUUCAGUUGCAUCAGGAAGCUGCAAGUCCUUCCCCUCUUCAGUUGCAUCUGCAAGCUGAGGGUCCUUUCC